rnacentral:rRNA from 1 species
GACGAACGCUGGCGGCGUGCCUAAUACAUGCAAGUCGAGCGAAGCGGGGACGGGUGAGUAACACGUGGAUUACCGCCUAUAAGACUGGGAUAACCUAGGGAAACCGGAGCUAAACCGGAAUCUUAUAGAUGGAUCCGCGCUGCAUUGGCUAGGUGGUAAGGUAAUGGGUUACGAAGGCAACGAGGCAUAGCCGACCUGAGAGGGUGAUCGGGCACACGGGAACUGAGACACGGUCCAGACUCCGACGGGAGGCAGCAGUAGGGAAUCUUCCGCAAUGGGCGAAAGCCGGACGGAGCAACGCCGCGUGAGUGAUGAAGGUCUUCGGAUCGUAAAGCUCUGUUAUUAGGGAAGCGGUACCUAAUCAGAAAGCCACGGCUAACUACGUGCCAGCAGCCGCGGUAAUAC